UGACAGUGACAAAAAGGAAGCAGCCUUCUCUAGCCCACCCAAGUUUCCAUCAAAGGAGCAAGCCUAUGUCAGUAAGAAGAAAGCUGGCUAACCCUCCCACCCCUUGUUUAACUCCUCCAGCCCAUCCCACAUCAUUGUAGAGUGAAGAGACUGCGGUUAAUAUUCAGAAAGAGGCGCAGAGAACUGAAGGCUUUCCUGACUUGACACCGAAUAAUAACAAAGGCCUGUGUGCUUUGCAGCAGCCUCCACGUCACCCUCUUCCAGGGCUCCGUCAGAGGACUAACGAUAUGCCACAAGAUGAUUGGCAGCAAGACACACCCAGUGAUGAAGGGAUGUGCUCUCCUUAAAUCACAGCCUAUUCAUCAGGUACUCCUGAGUGCUGUGUUAAGAAAUCCUGCCUACAAAGUUCCACUGAGGCUGAUAUAAAGAUGACUGUGAGAAACUGGCUGCGGCUGUCUGAGCAGAGACAGGAAUGGGGGCGGCAAAGGCAGGAAAAGCAAGCAUCUUAAGUGAAAUAAUUGAUUGGACUGAUUCUGGAGUAUGACUUAUUCUGGAGGGAAUUUCUUAUUUUUGUUGCAGUUUGCUAUGGGACGGUUUCAAGGACAGGGAUUAGACUAGUUCUAGACUAAAAUAAAUGUAAGAGCUGUCCAAACUGAAAACAACUUGCACUGACAUAUCAUAAAAUACAUCAGUGUCUUUUGUGAUGCUUCAAAAUGCACACAAGUAAUGUUUUUAUUAAGACAUGUUAUUAAAACUAGUUAUAUUUCAGAAUUAAACUAAGGCCUAGUCCCGGUUUAAGAUAAUCCCUGUCCGGGAAACCACCCCAAAGUGUAAUUUGUGGAGUGUUAAAAUAAAUGAAACUGCCUUUGCAAAAACAAAGUAAAAAAAAAAUUCCAGAUG